UCGUACUACCGAGGCCCGAGGGCUGUCGCUGACGCGUUUCAAGCGUCGUGCACGCCCGAGCGCUCUCGCAUACAAAAUCCACCUCACCACUUGUGCAUCACCGCGUGGGUCCCCCAUUUCUUGGGGGGCCUGCGUUUUAACAUAAAACUCGAUAUGGUGUAGAAUGUCUUCUCUUUUGCGAUUACACGCAAUCAAUA
rnacentral:misc_RNA from 1 species